UACUGCUCCUCCUUGGUUGGUGCUGCUGUAGGCCCUCCUUGGUUGGUGCUGCUGUAGGCCCUCCUUGGUUGGUGCUGCUGUAGGUCCUCCUUGGUUGGUGCUGCUCCUCCUUGGUUGGUGCUGCUGUAGGUCCUCCUUGGUUGGUGCUGCGGUAGGUCCUCCUUGGUUGGUGCUGCUGUAGGCCCUCCUUGGUUGGUGCUGCUGUAGGUCCUCCUUGGUUGGUGCUGCUGUAGGCCCUCCUUGGUUGGUGCUGCUGUAGGCCCUCCUAGUUGGUGCUGCUGUAGGCCCUCCUUGGUUGGUGCUGCUGUAGGCCCUCCUUGGUUGGUGCUGCUGUAGGCCCUCCUUGGUUGGUGCUGCUGUAGGUCCUCCUUGGUUGGUGCUGCUCCUCCUUGGUUGGUUGGCAACGGUGUCAAGAUAGAAUUUGUAUUUGUGAACACCAUUAUUUUAGUCUUACUGAGAUUUACUGUCAGGGCCCAGGUCUGACAGAAUCUGUGCAGAAGAUGGAGGUGCUGCUGUAGGUCCUCCUUGGUUGGGGACAGAAGUACGAGAUCAACAGCUAACAGUAGACAUUUGACUUCAGAUUCAAGUAGGGCGGAUGUUGCAGACCUUCCCCUUUGUUUAUUGUCUAUUCCACUUGCUUUGACAAUGGAAA
ensembl:lncRNA